rnacentral:rRNA from 1 species
UGCAAGUCGUACGAGAAAGUACCCUUCGGGGUGCGAGUAGAGUGGCGAACGGGUGAGUAACACGUGAGGAACCUGCCUCGAAGUCUGGAAUAACCUCGAGAAAUUGGGGCUAAUACCGGAUGUGGCCCGGACGGCGCAUGCCGACCGGAUUAAAGAUCGCCUAUCCCUGGAAGCGAUCGCUUCGAGAUGGCCUCGCGGCCUAUUAGCUUGUUGGCGGGGUAACGGCCCACCAAGGCGACGAUGGGUAGCCGGCCUGAGAGGGUGUACGGCCACAUUGGGACUGAGAUACGGCCCAAACUCCUACGGGAGGCAGCAGUAGGGAAUAUUGCGCAAUGGGCGGAAGCCUGACGCAGCAACGCCGCGUGAGCGAUGAAGGCCUUCGGGUUGUAAAGCUCUGUCAGGGGGGAAGAACCCCCGAUGGAUGAAUAGUCCGUCGGGCUGACAGUACCCCCAGAGGAAGCUCCGGCUAACUCCGUGCCAGCAGCCGCGGUAAUACGGAGGGAGCAAACGUUGUUCGGAAUUACUGGGCGUAGAGGGCGUGUAGGCGGUCGGGUCAGUCAGGUGUGAAAGGCUGCCGCUCAACGGCAGAUCUGCACCUGAUACUGCUCGACUAGAGGUCGGGAGAGGAGAGCGGAAUUCCCAGUGUAGCGGUGGAAUGCGUAGAUAUUGGGAAGAACACCAGUGGCGAAGGCGGCUCUCUGGACCGAUUCUGACGCUGAGGCGCGAAAGCUGGGGGAGCAAACAGGAUUAGAUACCCUGGUAGUCCCAGCCGUAAACGAUGGGCACUAGGUGCUGGAGAUAUCGACAUCCUCAGCGCCGUAGCUAACGCAUUAAGUGCCCCGCCUGGGGAGUACGACCGCAAGGUUGAAACUCAAAGGAAUUGACGGGGGCCCGCACAAGCGGUGGAGCAUGUGGUUCAAUUCGAAGCAACGCGAAGAACCUUACCCGGGCUUGACAUGUUGGUGAAAUCCCUGGAAACAGGGCUUCCCUUCGGGGCACCAUCACAGGUGUUGCAUGGCUGUCGUCAGCUCGUGUCGUGAGAUGUUGGGUUAAGUCCCGCAACGAGCGCAACCCCUGUCCCUUGUUGCCAGCGAGUAAUGUCGGGGACUCUAGGGAGACUGCCGGUGAUAAAUCGGAGGAAGGCGGGGAUGACGUCAAGUCCUCAUGGCCCUUAUGCCCGGGGCUACACACGUGCUACAAUGGCCGGUACAGCGAGAAGCAAUGCCGCGAGGUGGAGCGAAUCUCUCAAAACCGGUCUAAGUUCGGAUUGCAGUCUGCAACUCGACUGCAUGAAGUUGGAAUCGCUAGUAAUCGCGGAUCAUCAACGCCGCGGUGAAUACGUUCCCGGGCCUUGUACACACCGCCCGUCACGCCAUGGAAGCCGGGGGUACCCGAAGUCGCUGUCCCAACCCGCAAGGGAGGGAG